GUAACCUUUAUCUUUCCCACUUCUCAGCUGUCGCUUUACCAACAGGAGCCUCUACCUUUGCGGAGUUGGGAAAAGACAAACAGUUCUGUUUCCUUAAGCUAGGCUUACAAUCGAAGGGCCAGCUGUUCACUUUACAAUCUAUCCCAGCAUCCUCAGCUCCAAUAACUGCCAGUUGAUGCUUGCCUGUCCCAGUGGAAUUAAUGGAAGCUGUCAACAGCCCGCCCCCGACCUCACUGGAUAUAACUGUGUCCUCGGCAGACGAGAGAAUAACCAGAGGAAGGGCUGAAAAUCCUGGAGAACACCAACAUUAACAAGCUUCAGUUUGUCAGAACCAGUUGGGAUGCAACAGGAUUUUCAGUUUUGCUGCCUUCCAUGCAUGAAUGGCUGUUGGAAUGACCAAGAUGAUUUUUCCACCCAUUCUUGGGACCUGGACUAUGAUGGCCACAGCAGCUAAAGAUGCCAGGUUCUGCAUACUAUGAAACUACUACAUCAGCAGGUCCAAAGGACUCCACUGACUCAACUGAUCUGAGGGACCCCAUGAGAAGCCUACUCAUCAAAGAAUGCAGUUUCUAAAUCCUGAUGAGUUCACCCCCCUUGCCCUGACCAAUCAACAAUCCUAAUUCUCCAGUCCCUUGCCCUCCAUGAUCCUCUUAAAAACCCUAGCCCAGAAUUCCUCAGGAAGAUGGAUUUGAGGGUCUCCUUCCAACUCCUCACUCAGCGCCCUGUGGUCAUUAAACUUUCUCU
rnacentral:lncRNA from 1 species